UUGAACGCUGGCGGCAGGCCUAACACAUGCAAGUCGAACGGUAACAGGAAGAAGCUUGCUUCUUUGCUGACGGGUGGCGGACGGGUGAGUAAUGUCUGGGAAACUGCCUGAUGGAGGGGGAUAACUACUGGAAACGGUAGCUAAUACCGCAUAACGUCGCAAGACCAAAGAGGGGGACCUUCGGGCCUCUUGCCAUCGGAUGUGCCCAGAUGGGAUUAGCUAGUAGGUGGGGUAACGGCUCACCUAGGCGACGAUCCCUAGCUGGUCUGAGAGGAUGACCAGCCACACUGGAACUGAGACACGGUCCAGACUCCUACGGGAGGCAGCAGUGGGGAAUAUUGCACAAUGGGCGCAAGCCUGAUGCAGCCAUGCCGCGUGUAUGAAGAAGGCCUUCGGGUUGUAAAGUACUUUCAGCGGGGAGGAAGGGAGUAAAGUUAAUACCUUUGCUCAUUGACGUUACCCGCAGAAGAAGCACCGGCUAACUCCGUG
rnacentral:rRNA from 1 species